UGGAAUUAUGGCUUCUGAGCUGUGUCCGGA
rnacentral:piRNA from 1 species